UACGUAGGGGGCAAGCGUUGUCCGGAAUCAUUGGGCGUAAAGGGCGCGUAGGCGGCGCGGUAAGUCACUUGUGAAAUCUCUGAGCUUAACUCAGAACGGCCAAGUGAUACUGCAGUGCUAGAGUGCAGAAGGGGCAAUCGGAAUUCUUGGUGUAGCGGUGAAAUGCGUAGAUAUCGAGAGGAACACCAGAGGUGAAGACGGGUUGCUGGGCUGACACUGACGCUGAGGCGCGAAAGCCAGGGGAGCAAACGGG
rnacentral:rRNA from 1 species